rnacentral:rRNA from 1 species
CACGCCGUAAACGAUGAAUACUAGGUGUAGGGGGUAUCGACCCCCCCUGUGCCGGAGCAAACGCAAUAAGUAUUCCGCCUGGGGAGUACGGCCGCAAGGCUGAAACUCAAAGGAAUUGACGGGGGCCCGCACAAGCAGCGGAGCAUGUGGUUUAAUUCGAAGCAACGCGAAGAACCUUACCAAGGCUUGACAUCCCUUGAAACAGAUGGAAACACCUGCGGCCCUUCGGGGACAAGGAGACAGGUGG